rnacentral:lncRNA from 1 species
GCGGCUGCUGGUUGGAAGGUGGUCAGGUGCAGGUCGGGGGUCAUUGGUCUGAGGUUCCUCUACAACCGGGAGUGUAUUUACUGGGGUGUUGAAGCCUCUGUGUUGCAUUAUCUGCCCCAACCAGUGGGCGGUAUUUUGUAACUGGAAGGCCAUGUUUUGAAGAUCCUGGUUAGACAAGGUAAUGGCGGGAGUAUUCCCUACCAAACUUGGCGAGGGAUUAAGAGGAACAGGUGUUUGGUUGUUUAAUGUCGUAGGGCUAGAAAAAGAGAAUUGUUGCCCCUCUUGGGCAGAGCUUAGGUCAUUCGGGACGUUAAGGUUACUUUCUUGGUGAUUAGCCAUCGUGGAUCUCAGUGGGUUUUGUUAAGAGUGAAAACUCCGGUGAUGAAAAGAUCUCCGUCGUUUCCCAUAGACGGCGCCAAUUGAUGAGCUGAGAUCCAAUAGAAUAGGGUUUUACAAGGGUUUUGGUAUUGAAGAAUAAAGCUUGUUCUAUCUCUCUAGAGGGGUAUCCCUUUUAUCCUUUCUGUCUGCUUGCUGAUGACGUACUACGGCUCUCCUAUGAUAGGGCCACGCGUCUCUGCCAUACAGAUAUGGGCGUACGAGGAUAUCAGGCGCCUGCUCCAUGCGUAACGGCCUCUGAUUCUCCCCCGUGCGUACGCUCGAGCGGAUCUGCCAGGCUGUAAGACGAGUCUCGUUCUGGAUCCUGGGC